rnacentral:rRNA from 1 species
CCAGACUCCUACGGGAGGCAGCAGUAGGGAAUCUUCGGCAAUGGACGAAAGUCUGACCGAGCAACGCCGCGUGAGUGAAGAAGGUUUUCGGAUCGUAAAGCUCUGUUGUAAGAGAAGAACGGGUGUGAGAGUGGAAAGUUCACACUGUGACGGUAUCUUACCAGAAAGGGACGGCUAACUACGUGCCAGCAGCCGCGGUAAUACGUAGGUCCCGAGCGUUGUCCGGAUUUAUUGGGCGUAAAGCGAGCGCAGGCGGUUAGAUAAGUCUGAAGUUAAAGGCUGUGGCUUAACCAUAGUACGCUUUGGAAGCUGUUUAACUUGAGUGCAGAAGGGGAGAGUGGAAUUCCAUGUGUAGCGGUGAAAUGCGUAGAUAUAUGGAGGAACACCGGUGGCGAAAGCGGCCCUCUGGUCUGUAACUGACGCUGAGGCUCGAAAGCGUGGGGAGCGAACAGGAUUAGAUACCCUGGUAGUCCACGCCGUAACGAUGAGUGCUAGGUGUUAGGCCCUUUCCGGGGCUUAGUGCCGCAGCUAACGCAUUAAGCACUCCGCCUGGGGAGUACGACCGCAAGGUUGAAACUCAAAGGAAUUGACGGGGCCCGCACAAGAA